UUUUAUGGAGAGUUUGAUCCUGGCUCAGGAUGAACGCUGGCGGCGUGCCUAAUACAUGCAAGUCGAGCGAACAGACGAGGAGCUUGCUCCUCUGACGUUAGCGGCGGACGGGUGAGUAACACGUGGAUAACCUACCUAUAAG
rnacentral:rRNA from 2 species